rnacentral:rRNA from 1 species
UGGGGAAUAUUGCACAAUGGGCGCAAGCCUGAUGCAGCAACGCCGCGUGAACGAUGAAGGUCUUCGGAUCGUAAAGUUCUGUUGCAGGGGAAGAUAAUGACGGUACCCUGUGAGGAAGCCCCGGCUAACUACGUGCCAGCAGCCGCGGUAAUACGUAGGGGGCUAGCGUUAUCCGGAUUUACUGGGCGUAAAGGGUGCGUAGGUGGUCUUUCAAGUCGGUGGUUAAAGGCUACGGCUCAACCGUAGUUAGCCUCCGAAACUGGAAGACUUGAGUGCAGGAGAGGAAAGUGGAAAUCCCAGUGUAGCGGUGAAAUGCGUAGAUAUUGGGAGGAACACCAGUAGCGAAGGCGGCUUUCUGGACUGCAACUGACACUGAGGCACGAAAGCGUGGGUAGCAAACAGG